UACGUAGGGUGCAAGCGUUGUCCGGAAUUAUUGGGCGUAAAGAGCUCGUAGGCGGUCUGUCGCGUCGGAUGUGAAAACCCAGGGCUCAACCCUGGGCCUGCAUUCGAUACGGGCAGACUAGAGUUCGGUAGGGGAGACUGGAAUUCCCGGUGUAGCGGUGAAAUGCGCAGAUAUCGGGAGGAACACCGGUGGCGAAGGCGGUUCUCUGGGCCUUGCCUGACGCUGAGGAGCGAAAGCGUGGGGAGCGAACAGG
rnacentral:rRNA from 1 species